rnacentral:rRNA from 1 species
UACGAAGGGGGCUAGCGUUGCUCGGAAUUACUGGGCGUAAAGCGCACGUAGGCGGCUUUUUAAGUCAGGGGUGAAAUCCCGGGGCUCAACCCCGGAACUGCCCUUGAAACUGGAGAGCUAGAAUCUUGGAGAGGCGAGUGGAAUUCCGAGUGUAGAGGUGAAAUUCGUAGAUAUUCGGAAGAACACCAGUGGCGAAGGCGACUCGCUGGACAAGUAUUGACGCUGAGGUGCGAAAGCGUGGGGAGCAAACAGG